rnacentral:lncRNA from 1 species
CAGUGUCUCAUCGGCUAAACCGAAGUAAAUUGGCACCCAGUGCCUCAUCGAAUUAAUCCGAAGUAAUAGAUUGACACCCAGUGUCUCAUCAACUCGAAGUCGAAGAAGUCCCUGAACUCUUCCAAUCCUAUGGCAUGCCAUCUAUAUCUGACUCAGCCCGAUACAGUUAAUAGGGUUUAAUUUCACUUUGUAAGAAUAAUAUCCAAUAUCAUAUUUGCACAAUAUUACAUUUAUACAUAUAUAUUCAUAAUAUAUAUUCCAAUUCAAUUCAAUUAAUAUAAAUUCAAUAAUUUCAUCAUAUACCAAAUCAAUCUAUUUCAAUUGCACAACACAAAUAUUAUCACCUCAACACUUACCAUAUACAUUAAAUAAAAAUUACAACAAUUAAUAACUAGCUUCGGAUUAUAGAAAUACAAACCAGAAAUUCCGAGUUAUUCCUCGUCGACUUUAUCUUUCCCCUUUUUAGUCGAGAGUUCCGGUAUGACGUUAGCUACAGAAUUAAAAAAAUUAAAAUUUAUCAAUACAAUACAAUACAAUUUAAAUUUCAUAUUGAAUAUUUCAACUUUUUACUAAACAUUUGUCUAAAUUCCAAUUUAGUCCCUAAACUGAGACUAACUUUUAUUCUUCACAUUUAAUUCUUUAUUUUCAUGCAAAUUCCACUUUAGACUAAAUUAAACUCCCUAUUUUCACAUAAAUUCCUAAAUUUCAAAAUUUCAAAAUUUUCACAAUUUAGUCCCUAUUACUCAAAAUUUGCAAUUUAUUCUACAAUCCAAUCCUUUUUCAUUUCUAACUUAAAAAUCUAUCAAUUUAAUCCCUAAUACUCAAAUUAUUUAACAUAGUCAACAUUUAAAAAUUCAAUAAUUUCUAAAACUUCAACAUAGAUCGGGUAGUAUUUAAUAUCGGGAUUCUAAAAACAUAAAAAUUACAAGAAAAUGGAAUAAAUUGACUAACCAAUUGAACUUGGAACCUUGAAACCCUAGUUUCAUCUUUCUUUCUUUCUUUUCUUUCUUUCCUUUCUUUUCUCCCUAUUUUGUUCUUUCUAUUCUUUUUCUUUUCUUUAUUUAUUUUAUUAUAUUUACUUUAUUAUUAUAUUAUAUAUAUUUACUUAAAUAUUAAGUAAUACAUAUUUUAUUAAUAUAUACAUAUGUAUAUUAUUUUUACACAUGUAAUCACUAUUACCAUCCACUUGUUGAAAUAAGGCUUAAUUGCUUAUUUAGUCCCUUUAUUUUUUCUUUAAUCUAUAAUUCAACUUUCAUCUUUUAUGCAAUUUAGUCCUUAUACCUAAUUACUUUUAAUUCAUGCAAAUUCACCUAACCAAAACCUAAUUAACUACACAACUAGCUGCGUAAAUAUUUUUAAUAAAUAUUUACGAAUCUGAUUUACGGUAACGAAGUCUUGAAAAUGCACUUUCCGACACUUGUGACUAUCGGGUCGUUACAAACUUCGUACAGGAAUUUGCUAUGCUGUGGGAUUAUGCUGAUGAGUUGAGACUAAAGAAUCCUGGAAGUACUAUAAAGAUGGCAGUGAAUAGAGUCACACCUGAAUCUCCACCACAUUUCAAGAGGUUUUAUGUCUGUUUUGAAGCACUGAAAAGAGGUUGGAAAGAAUGGUGCAAACCUAUACUAGGUUUGGAUGGUUGCUUUUUAAAAGGUUCAUUUAAUGGUGAGUUGUUGGCUGUUGUUGGGAGAGAUGGAAACAAUCAGAUGUACCCAGUUGCCUGGGCUAUUGUUAAUGGGGAAUGUAUUGAUUCUUGGGCAUGGUUUCUUAUUCCAUUAACAGCAAACUUAGGAAUGGAAAAUGGUUUUGGGUAUACCAUCAUUAAUGACCAACAAAAGGUAAACUAUUUAUUUUACAUUUAUUUAUUACUAAUACUAUUAAUUAUUACUUAUGUUUUGUAAAUUAAUUUGCAGGGUCUCGAUAUAGCCAUUAAUGACAUUCUGCCUAGAAUAGAACAUAGAAAUUAUGCUAGGCAUGUCUUAUCAAACUGGUCUAGUAGGAAGAAAGGAAAUAAUUCGAAUUUGUUUUUUGGAAAGUUAUGAAGUCUACAACAGAGAAGGAGUGGGAAAAAAAAAAGAAUACUUGUAUAAGCUUGAUGAAAGUGUUGCAAAAGAGCUGUUCUCUAAGAAUUCGAAAGCUUAGACCAAGGCCUUCUAAGGGUUACACUCAAUGUCAAAUAUUGUAAACAAUAACCUCUGUAAAGCAUUUAACUCCAACAUCGUGGAGUCUAGAUUUAAAAGCAUAAUAACCAUAUUGGAGGAAAUUAGAGUUAAUAUAAUGACCAAAAUAGUGGCUAAGAGAAAGCAAUGGAGUUCAUGGAAAUAUAAUUAUGGUCCACUAAUAAAGAAGAAAUUUAAUAACAGCAAGAAGGAAGGUGUUGAUUAGAAGAUGAUCUGAAAUAGGAAAAAUGGGUGUGAAGUUAAGAAAGGCAGAAAACAAUACGUAGUAAAUGUAGAGCAUAAAACCUGUAGUUGUCGAAGUUGGUAAUUAUCUUGGAUCUCUUGUCCCCAUGCCUGCUGUGCUAUAUGAUAUCUUGAACAAGAUCCUAAUGACUACUUACAUAGGUACUACCACAAUGACACAUAUUUGAAAGCAUAUGAAUAUGUUUUGC